CCCUUAGACGUUCUGGGCCGCACGCGCGCUACACUGACCAGUGCAACAAGCAUCCGUCCUUGGCCGACAGGCCCGGGCAAUCUUUGAACGCUGGUCGUGAUGGGGAUAGACUUUUGCAAUUUUUGGUCUUCAACGAGGAAUUCCUAGUAAACGCAAGUCAUCAACUUGCAUUGAUUACGUCCCUGCCCUUUGUACACACCGCCCGUCGCACCUACCGAUUGGAUGGUCCGGUGAAGCCUCGGGAUUGUGGCGGUUGCCUUUAUUGGUGGCCGCCGCGAGAACUUGUCUAAACCUUAUCAUCUAGAGGAAGGUGAAGUCGUAACA
rnacentral:rRNA from 1 species